AGCAGUAGCCGCGGGAAUACAGAGGGUGCGAGCGUUAAUCGGAUUUACUGGGCGUAAAGCGUGCGUAGGCGGCUUUUUAAGUCGGAUGUGAAAUCCCUGAGCUUAACUUAGGAAUUGCAUUCGAUACUGGGAAGCUAGAGUAUGGGAGAGGAUGGUAGAAUUCCAGGUGUAGCGGUGAAAUGCGUAGAGAUCUGGAGGAAUACCGAUGGCGAAGGCAGCCAUCUGGCCUAAUACUGACGCUGAGGUACGAAAGCAUGGGGAGCAAACAGGAUUAGAUACCCGGGUAGUCCCUGUCUCUUAUAA
rnacentral:rRNA from 1 species